GGUGCCACGAGCGUGAAAAACUGUUGUAAACAUACGAUGUAAAUGUUCGCGAUCAUUGUCGUUUUACAUUUUACAUUUUACAUUUACAUUUGACAUGAUGGCAUACACGUUAUUCGUGUAAUCACACGUGUAAUAAUUAGUAGUAAUUCGUGCAAUAAAUCGUGUGAUCCAACAGCUGGAAUAUUAACACUAAGCUUAGCAGGCCUGGUGAAAUAACUGGUUUCAAAGUUUAUUUAAAAAUUGUUUACAGGCAUUCCGAUUGCGUCGAAUCUGAUAUGAUAAAAUAUAAUCUAAUAUAAUAAAAUGUACCACAUAUAUAGCAACCUUCGAGACUAGAAAGCUUCGAAGGAAAUGAAUUUCGAUAUAUAUCUGUCUCGUUAAAUGGAAGAAAGCCAGUAGAAUUGGUAGAAGAAAAAUGUAAAAGAUUAAUUUUUCUCAUGACGCAUCACGUAAGCCUGAUGUUGACAAAAAUAGAGAAAUUGAUUAGUCGGAUGAUAGAAGAAAUCACAUAAAGUUAGAUGAUCAAAAGAAAUAACAAUGGAUGUAUGAUUUUUAAUUCAAUGUUGAUUCCGGGGCUGGUAAGGUGUAAAUUGUAUAAAUUCCAUAAGGCGUUCAUAAAAAGAAGAAAAGAGAAAUUGUAAUUUAGAUUAUGGAACUCCGAUCGUCAUACUCAUAGUAUUCCACAAUUUGUCCAUUUACGACGUAUGUUUCGUCAUUAAGAAGCUCGCCAAUACGUUCGAGGAUAUUUCCUGCUUCUCCAGUAAGGUCGUAGAAGCAUGAUUUACAAUAUAAUUUCAAGCAGAGAACUAGCGGACAGUAUUAAUCUACAUUGUCCAUGGUCUUGCCUGGCAAUGUCAAAAUUAGAUUGUAAAAAAAUGUUGGAGAACGUAACAUUUGAUUUCAAUAAAAUUCAAAGAAUUCAAGCCGAACUAUAAGAUCACGAUAAAAGUUUAACGAUUGACUGCUUAGCUGUUGGGAGCAUUUUGAAAACUUUGAAGAGUGCGUACCUAAAAUUUGACUCAAAGAGUAAGCGAUGACGAGUAUACUGAUCAAAGACAGAGCAUGUGUGACUGUAAUAAUAUAAAAUUAAACUGUAACGAAACGACUGUUUUAUUUUUUAAUUUUAUUACUAACAGUGCUCAUCAUAACACAAAAUAUUGUACCAUUUAUCCAUGUCGAGUACACUCGUAAAGAACAGCUACCUGGUUAGGAACUGAUGUUACAAUACUGUUUAUUGCGCAGCAACGCAAAAUGAAAGUUCUUCUUUAUUUGAUACCAUUCAGUUGUGCAAAUUUAAUGAUAAAUUAUGUCUCCUUCUAAAUGCUUAGUUACGCGAGGAACGAGACCUGCUUACAAUCCGUGAAAGUAACCGAUAAUAUUCCCAAUAACCAGGUAAUAAGUAAAUGUGAUUGCAACAGCAAGCAUAAGACACCAACGGAAUGCGAUUUUUCUGAUGAUUGCAUAAUGAUGAAGAAUAUUGAUGUUCCGGCAACAAUGAACAAGAAAUUAAUUCAAAUAUUUGGUUGUUUCUACAUAUGUAUUACUGGAAAAAUUGUAUUGUGAUCGUUCCAAUUUCUUCCUCUUUUCAACGCCAAAAUUCUUUGCAAUUUGUCUACGUGGACAUUAAAUCAAUUCUUACGUUUAGUAUUGAAUUGAAUAUCACGUAGACGAUUUCUCCAUUGGGAAAACGUCUACAGGCGAAUUCUAUCUUCCUAUCAGAUCUACCGGAUGAUCUCUUUGAAGUGUUCUCUGGAUGUGCUGGUUAUAUAAAUUAUUAAUCAAUGGGAUGCUAUGAGCUUUUAUUUUGCUUCUAUAAUUUACCAUCGUUUUGAUUAUUUUCUCGUCAACUGUAUCAAUAUUAACAACUACAUUAAUA
rnacentral:lncRNA from 1 species